CUACGGGCGGCUGCAGUGAUGAAUAUUGCACAAUGGGGGGAACCCUGAUGCAGCAACGCCGCGUGGAGGAUGACGCAUUUCGGUGUGUAAACUCCUUUUAUAUGUCAAGAAAAUGACGGUAGCAUAUGAAUAAGCACCGGCUAACUCCGUGCCAGCAGCCGCGGUAAUACGGAGGGUGCAAGCGUUACUCGGAAUCACUGGGCGUAAAGGACGCGUAGGCGGGUUGGAAAGUCAGGUGUGAAAUCCUACAGCUUAACUGUAGAACUGCACUUGAAACUUCUAAUCUAGAGUAUGGGAGGGGGAGAUGGAAUUAGUGGUGUAGGGGUAAAAUCCGUAGAUAUCACUAGGAAUACCUAAAGCGAAGGCGAUCUCCUGGAACAUCACUGACGCUAAGGCGUGAAAGCGUGGGGAGCAAACAGGAUUAGAUACCCCCGUAGUC
rnacentral:rRNA from 1 species